GACGAACGCUGGCGGCAUGCCUAAUACAUGCAAGUCGAGCGGACAGAAGGGAGCUUGCUCCCGAAAGUCAGCGGCGGACGGGUGAGUAACACGUGGGCAAUCUGCCCCUUAGAUUGGAAUAACUUCGGGAAACCGAAGCUAAUACCGAAUAAUACAAGGAACCUCCUGGUUCUCUGUUGAAAGAUGGCCUUUGUGCUGUCACCACGGGAUGGGCCCGCGGCGCAUUAGCUAGUUGGUAAGGUAACGGCUUACCAAGGCGACGAUGCGUAGACGACCUGAGAGGGUGAUCGGCCACACUGGGACUGAGACACGGCCCGGACUCCUACGGGAGGCAGCAGUAGGGAAUCUUCCGCAAUGGACGAAAGUCUGACGGAGCAAUGCCGCGUGAGUGAGGAAGGCCUUCGGGUCGUAAAGCUCUGUUGUGAGGGAAGAACAAGUACCGGCGUAACUACCGGUACCGUGACGGUACCUCACCAGAAAGCCACGGCUAACUACGUGCCAGCCGCCGCGGUAA
rnacentral:rRNA from 1 species